rnacentral:rRNA from 1 species
ACGGCUAUACCACAUUGGUAACACCGAUUCUAGUCCGAUCACCGAAGUUAAGCAACGUCGGGCCCGGUCAGUAUUUGGGAGGGUGACCACCUGGGGACAUCGGGUGAUGUAGGCU